GAUGAACGCUAGCGGCAGGCUUAACACAUGCAAGUCGAGGGGCAGCAUAAACAUUGCUUGCAAUGUUUGAUGGCGACCGGCGCACGGGUGCGUAACGAGUAUGCAACCUACCCAUAACAGGGGGAUAACACUGAGAAAUUGGUACUAAUACCCCGUAAUAUUAUGAAAGGCAUCUUUUAUAGUUGAAAGUUCCGGCGGUUAUGGAUGGGCAUGCGUUGUAUUAGCUAGUUGGUGAGGUAACGGCUCACCAAGGCGACGAUACAUAGGGGGACUGAGAGGUUAACCCCCCACAUUGGUACUGAGACACGGACCAAACUCCUACGGGAGGCAGCAGUGAGGAAUAUUGGUCAAUGGACGCAAGUCUGAACCAGCCAUGCCGCGUGCAGGAAGACGGCUCUAUGAGUUGUAAACUGCUUUUGUAUGAGGGUAAAAUUGGGUACGUGUACCCAACUGCAAGUAUCAUACGAAUAAGGAUCGGCUAACUCCGUGCCAGCCGCCGCAGUAAAAC
rnacentral:rRNA from 1 species